rnacentral:rRNA from 1 species
ACAUUAGAUACCCGUGUAGUCCAGGGUGUAAACGCUGCAGACUUGGUGUUGGAGGCCCUUUGGGGGCAUUCAGUGCCGGAGAGAAGUUGUUAAGUCUGCUACUUGGGAGUACGUCCGCAAGGAUGAAACUUAAAGGAAUUGGCGGGGGAGCACCGCAACGGGAGGAGCGUGCGGUUUAAUUGGAUUCAACACCGUAAACUCACCAGGGAAGACUGUUACAUGAAGGCCGAGAUGAAGACUCUGCUAGAUUUUCAG